UACGGAGGGGACUAGCGUUGUUCAGAAUUACUGGGCGUAAAGCGCACGUAGGCGGAUUUGUAAGUCAGGGGUGAAAUCCCGGGGCUCAACCUCGGAACUGCCUUUGAUACUGCAAAUCUCGAGUCCGGAAGAGGUGAGUGGAAUUCCUAGUGUAGAGGUGAAAUUCGUAGAUAUUAGGAAGAACACCAGUGGCGAAGGCGGCUCACUGGUCCGGUACUGACGCUGAGGUGCGAAAGCGUGGGGAGCAAACAGG
rnacentral:rRNA from 1 species